UGUUCACCUCAUCCAGAAACAUCCUCACGGACACGCCCAGAGUGAUGCUUGACCGAUGUCUGGGCCGCCUAUGGCCAGUCAAGUUGACGCACAGAAUUACCCAUCAUAGCAGGUGCCUCGUUCUGCCCUAAACAUGUGCAGGAUGCCGUGGGUGUUAGUCAAGGAGCCGUCUCUGUCCGCAGCCCCCGCGACCCAGGCCCUGGGUUUCAGCUCUGCAACUCCGCUUUGGCCGUGCCUGAUCCAGGAGAGACAACCAACUGGAGACACCAUGUUCAGAGGCUACCUGGAGCCCUGUGGCCAGUGCAACCAGGCUUCCAGUAAUGAGCUGGACAAUCAGAACUUCUCUCUGUCAUGGGGCUGGGACUCAGGAACUUGAAGAAUCACUACCUGGCCUGUCUGUACCAUAGCCUCGUCUCUCCAGGGAGGAGGGCACCACUGACCAUCUCUGUUUGCCACAGAAUUAAGAGGAUGAGGACCGUUUUUGCCAGGGCUGUCUCCAGUAUUGGCUGGAGAAGAAGAAAACUUCCUUCUCGAGAAGCCGACAGCCACCAGCCAGGGCAGAGCCUGCCUGCCAGCAGCCUGCAGGGCCCCCCCCCAAUGCCUGAGGGCUUUCUAGACCCUGCAGCUCCUCUUUGGGGGCUGUCUCCCCCCCAGCCUCUGGGGUCCCCAUCACCCUCUGCAAAUUGUGCUUCGUCUCCUACCACUUGUGACUCCACGUUCCCUCCCCCGGGUCUGUGCUCCACGGUCCCCAUGCCCACGGGCCACCCUUCCCUCUGCCCAGUGAGCUCCUCACCAUCCUGCCAGGCUCCUGCGGAGACCUUCGGACUCACAUCAGCAGGCAGCGGGGAGCAGGGGGAGGGUGUGGGCCCGGGAGAGGGAGGCGAUAGGAGUCAGAACCACCCCUGCUGGCCCCUCACGUGAUGACUCUUGGGGGGUGCUGGUCUGCCCCCUCCCUGUCGGGCCCCCACACCAGAGAGACCACCUCUGCUCUCCCCCCGGGCUGGGCCCACCCAGAGUUCCAAGGCCCGGGACCUGCUCCUCACACGGCCUCUGGCUUUCUGCUCGGCCGCAGUUUUUCCAUGGCCCCGGCAGCGAAUCAUGCCAUGGGCGCAGAAAGCCUCCAUGACCUUCAAGUGAACGUUCACAUCUUAGCCCGAGACGUCCCAUUAUCUUCACUCUUUUAGCUUUACAUAUUUUCAGGGGUUGCUUGCCCUGGUGCCUCCCUCGUGUCCUACUGGGCUGUCCUUGUUUUCUCCAUCUGUAAAACAGGCAAGUGCUGAUGCCCCCUGCCAGGCUCCAUGCAGGGCUCACUUCGAGGACUCACUUCGAGGACU